GCGAGGCGUCUCGCAGGGUCGGAGUCGACUCCCGACACUGCGGAGUCGACUCUCUCAGAGGCGGCAGAAAGGCCGAUUUCAAGGGAUGCACGCGAGUCGUCUCCACAGGAAGCGGAGUCGUCCCCGCAAGUAAAAAGCAGACUUUCCGAGUCGUCCCCAGAGAGUGCGGAGUCGACUCUCUCAGGGUAUUCCAGAGGGCGUGUUUUUCGUUGACAGAACUGCCGAGACGUCCCCUGAAAGAGCGGAGUCGACUCUCUCAGAGAAUUCCAGAGGACAUAUUUUUCAGAGA
rnacentral:lncRNA from 1 species